UUGUCUCAAAGAUUAAGCCAUGCAUGUCUCAGUACAAGCCAAAUUAAGGUGAAACCGCGAAAGGCUCAUUAAAUCAGUUAUGGUUCCUUAGAUCGUACUCACAAUUACUUGGAUAACUGUGGUAAUUCUAGAGCUAAUACAUGCUAACAGAGCUCUAACCGGAAACGGAAGGAGCGCUUUUAUUAGAUCAAAACCAAUCGGUGGCGGUCUCCGUCAUCGUACAACUUGGUGAAUCUGAAUAACUUUAAGCUGAUCGCACGGUCUUGCACCGGCGACGUAUCUUUCAAAUGUCUGCCUUAUCAACUGUCGAUGGUAGGUUCUGCGCCUACCAUGGUUGUAACGGGUAACGGGGAAUCAGGGUUCGAUUCCGGAGAGGGAGCCUGAGAAACGGCUACCACAUCCAAGGAAGGCAGCAGGCGCGCAAAUUACCCACUCCCGGCACGGGGAGGUAGUGACGAAAAAUAACGAUACGGGACUCAUCCGAGGCCCCGUAAUCGGAAUGAGAACACUCUAAACCCUUUAACGAGGAUCAAUUGGAGGGCAAGUCUGGUGCCAGCAGCCGCGGUAAUUCCAGCUCCAAUAGCGUAUAUUAAAGUUGUUGCGGUUAAAAAGCUCGUAGUCGAAUCUGUGUUCCGCGCCGUCGGUUCAUCGUUCGCGGUGUUAACUGACGUGUCGUGGAACGUCCUGCCGGUGGGCUUAGCUUGAAAGGGCGGCCCAACUUAAUCCCGCCGCGGUGCUCUUUAUUGAGUGUCGAGGUGGGCCGGCACGUUUACUUUGAACAAAUUAGAGUGCUUAAAGCAGGCUAAAAUUUUGCCUGAAUACUGUGUGCAUGGAAUAAUGGAAUAGGACUCGGUUCUAUUUUGUUGGUUUUCGGAACCCCGAGGUAAUGAUUAAUAGGAACGGAUGGGGGCAUUCGUAUUGCGACGUUAGAGGUGAAAUUCUUGGAUCGUCGCAAGACGGACAGAAGCGAAAGCAUUUGCCAAAAACGCUUUCAUUGAUCAAGAACGAAAGUUAGAGGUUCGAAGGCGAUCAGAUACCGCCCUAGUUCUAACCAUAAACGAUGCCAGCUAGCGAUCCGCCGACGUUCUUUUCAUGACUCGGCGGGCAGCUUCCGGGAAACCAAAGCUUUUGGGUUCCGGGGGAAGUAUGGUUGCAAAGCUGAAACUUAAAGGAAUUGACGGAAGGGCACCACCAGGAGUGGAGCCUGCGGCUUAAUU
rnacentral:rRNA from 1 species